rnacentral:rRNA from 1 species
GACGGAGGAUGCAAGUGUUAUCCGGAAUCACUGGGCGUAAAGGGUGCGUAGGCGGCACCAUAAGUAAGAUGUUAAAGCUCCAAGCCCAACUUGGAUGUGCAUUUUAUACUGUGGUGCUAGAGUUUGAGAGAGGAGAUAAGAAUUUCUGGGGUAGCGGUGAAAUGCGUAGAUUCCAGAAGGAAUACCAAAGGCGAAGGCAAAUCUCUAGCUCAACACUGACGCUGAGGCACGAAAGCGUGGGGAGCAAACAGG